UUUGCUUUAAUUUUUGUCUAGUCUAUUUUGUUUUAAAUUUGUUUUACAUUUCUUGUACAGCACUUUCAACACCUUUUGUUUUUAAAUGUGCUUUAUAAAUCAAUAAACUAAACUAAACUAAGUGCAAAGGUACUGCAGAUAAUAAUCAGAAUGUACAAUGAAUGAAUAAUUGGGUCACCAAAAUAUCUGCACAUACAUAUUGGAGAGAAAUGACCAUGUAGUCAUCUAUGUUUAACAUUUUUGAGUUAUUACACACAAACUGCCUGUACUUAUUUACAUUCUAGUUAUCACCAAAAAAAAAUAAAAAAUAAAAAACAGCACUCUGCUACCACCUAACAAUGAAUAUAGAAUAUCUUGUUAGUACCCUAGUAACCAGCCAGAAUACAAUAACAACUGCCUAGCAACCACUCGGAAUACAAUAGAGACAGCAUUCUAAAAAUGCAGCACUCAAGUUCAAAUAAACUUAAGUUUACACCAGAAAAAUGUACUAAAAACAGAAAAGUUCUUCAGACGGCAAUGUUGUCAAAAUGAUCCCAGUUCACACACGAAAACAACUAAAAAUGCUAUAUUAUUCAUGCCAGUUUCCCCCAUUCCACUGCCUGCAUCUAGAAUCCCAGUAUGUUUGAGGCUAUGGAUUACAGGUAAUAAUGUUCAAAGCAAAAACACAUUAUGCGUGAAUGGCCUUUCUGUGUGUAUAACCCUCACAUCACCAUUAAAACUUUGAAAACUUCCAGACAGAGCUCUGUUAUACCAACAGUCAAAGUCCUCCCUAAAGAACUUUCCCAGAGUUGUUAAAUCUCGGAUCUAGUGAGGGUUCAGUGUUAGCUGAAGAUGGUAAACAAUAGAUCAACACCCAGACAUUGUCUAUGGAAAUGAAUACAAAUGCUGUAUUGUGGUGUUCCACAAUGUUAGAUUGAAAUAAGUAUUUGCAUCAUUGCAGAAAGGGCAGAGCUGCUAUAGCCCACAUUAGUGAUCAUUUUAAACAAUGGGAUAUGAUCUGAAAACACUGUACUGUAGAUGAGACCCUGUAUAGUGAAUCUAUUUGGAAUCUGUUCCUCAUUGUUAAGUUCCCUCCCUAAAACAGUGAGAUUGUUCUGUCUUUGUUGACCUGUAGAGUUCAAAUGUAAAUAAGACAUUAAUCAAAGCUGUGAAUGAAUGGCUGGAACUCUAAUGCCAAUGUGUAUCUAACCUCACAUAACUCUCUCUAAAGUUUUCUGGAGAUGUUUGUGAGGAGGAGCCAUGUUUUGACAGUCAGGCAAUACCUCCGAUUUCCCUCCGAGGGCUGGAGAGGUGACGGCGGACAGAAUUCGGGUGGUUUGUUUAUUUUGUUUUGACUUGAGGGUUCUAGAUGAUUGGAGGAGCAGAAGCAGGGAUUAAUAAAAGAUUAUGUGUCUGUAUGCACAGCGGCAAAAUAGAGUGCUGGGAAGCGGACGA
ensembl:lncRNA